UGGGAUGUAUGCAUGCAACCACCAAUUUUGGAAAUAUUUUCUUCAGUAUCAUGGUGGGAAAAAGGUUCUGACACAUGAGUAUUUUCGAGUGCAGACUUGACAUGGCAACCUUUUGAUUCACCAAAUCCAUUUUCAGUAUGAGUUGUUGCAGAAGCAGGUGCACCAUAUUCCACAGAUUCAUGUAUGCUUUCCUGCCAGAACAAAGACUCUAGGCCAAAUGGUGAUUCUUCUGCAUUUGGUAAAGAUCCCAUGUUCCUUGAGGGCAAUACUAUUUCCUCAAGCAAACCACAUUGAUGUUUACACUUUUGUGCUAAUGAACAUAGUGAAGGUUUUUCGAGGUCACCUGAGACACAUUGAUGUGUUAUUCUCAAAUAACACUUAAACCCAAUAGUAAAACUGUAACUAAACUCACUAUCCACUUUAGAAAUUCAUGCAUCAAAAUCAGUUAAGUAUAAAACUUUAGAAAUCACACUGAAGAAAUUAUAUGGAAGUUUUUUACCUUCCAAUAAAAUUGAAAAUGGAAGUACUAAACCAUUGGCUCAGAUGAACUCGUUAUUUGGAUGUUUAACAGACAUUAUCUUCCAAAUCAGUAUGUAGUUAUGGAUACAGGAUAAAUUCGGUUGUACCCAUGGUUUUUAAAGCGGUAAGGCGGUCCAAGGCGUUGGAGGACCGCCUGGACGCCUAGGCGGCGCCUAGGCGAGGUAGGCGGGUAAGGCGCCUAGGCGUUAGACCACCGCCCGGACGCCUAGGCGACGCCUUAAAAACAGAGGUUGUACCUUUGGCAGUCUCUUCAGCUACUAUGUCAAUAUCAUGUUGCAGACUUUUGGUGUAGAGAGCAGUGGACAUGAUGCCAGUUAGGUUCUUUUCUCCAGACUCAAUGGCAUUUGCUUCCAAGCCAACUCUCCCUUCUCCAGAUACAGGGCUUUGCUCUACACGAUCUACAACAGUGAAGUUAAUUGAUAAGCCAUCUGGUGAUUUUGCAAGGACAAAAACUGUCUUUCAGUAUAUAACAAGACAUUAAUGGAUAAAACUAAUUACAACAUCAUAAAAUCAAUAAGGUUGUCAUAUACCAGCUUUUGAACAUCCAAACUAGAUCAAUAAAUUAUAAUUGUGAUGAUGCUUGUCUACAGGAGAUAAAUUGAACAAAGCUAAAUCCUACAGAUUUGGCAAUGCAGAGAUAUUAAACUAACAACUGUCAUGCCAUUAGCACACAUGCUAGCCUCACCUCCACUGAUCAAAGCUUUGUCAUCUGAGGCAACACAAUUGUGUGGUACUAGUCCUGCAAUGCAUGAUGAUUGAUCUAAUUCCCCACUUCUUGUUUCAGAUAAAUGGCUAUCAACAGCUUGAAUGUCAUGAUGUUCCUGAGGCUGUUUACUCUUAUCUAAAUUUUCCUUUGCAUUGUCACCAGAUUCUGACCCAGGUACCACUUCAUGUAUACUCUGCACGGUGUAAAUCUCAUUAGUCGGUGUUACUGUUACAAGCAAUGGACCUGAAGAGAACUCUUCUCUUGUGGCAUUAACCUGACAACUUUCUUGAAUUCUGCUAGUAGACUUAUUGUACUCAUGAGUAGCUUUGUGUGUGUCUAUUGUUGCUUCCCUGAUAAUCAUGUCAUCAUUUGCCUCCUUGACAGGCAUCAUUUCUACUGGAUCAAUUGUCCGUCUCCUCUUUGAAGACCUUCCCUUUAAAGUUUCGGACUGCACAACUAUUUCAGUGUGAUCCAUGCUCGUCUUUUCAACACCAUUAAGUGCAACAGAUUUACGUGUUG
rnacentral:lncRNA from 1 species